GACGAACGCUGGCGGCGUGCUUAACACAUGCAAGUCGUACGGUAAGGCCCUUUCGGGGGUACACGAGUGGCGAACGGGUGAGUAACACGUGAGUAACCUGCCCACAACUUUGGGAUAACGCUAGGAAACUGGUGCUAAUACUGGAUAUGUGCUCCUGCUGCAUGGUGGGGGUUGGAAAGCUCCGGCGGUUGUGGAUGGACUCGCGGCCUAUCAGCUUGUUGGUGGGGUAGUGGCCUACCAAGGCGGCGACGGGUAGCCGGCCUGAGAGGGUGACCGGCCACAUUGGGACUGAGAUACGGCCCAGACUCCUACGGGAGGCAGCGGUGGGGAAGAUUGCACAAUGGGCGCAAGCCUGAUGCAGCAACGCCGCGUGCGGGAUGACGGCCUUCGGGUUGUAAACCGCUUUCAGCAGGGACGAAGCUUUUUGUGACGGUACCUGCAGAAGAAGCACCGGCUAACUACGUG
rnacentral:rRNA from 1 species